CUGUUAUUGGUAAUGGUGAGAGGUUAGCAUGUUUUGUUGUAGUCUCUGUUAUUGGUAAUGGUGAGAGGUUAGCAUGUUUUGUUGUAGUCUCUGUUAUUGGUAAUGGUGAGAGGUUAGCAUGUUUUGUUGUAGCCUCUGUUAUUGGUAAUGGUGAGAGGUUAGUAUGUUUUGUUGUAGUCUCUGUUAUUGGUAAUGGUGAGAGGUUAGUAUGUUUUGUUGUAGCCUCUGUUAUUGGUAAUGGUGAGAGGUUAGCAUGUUUUGUUGUAGCCUCUGUUAUUGGUAAUGGUGAGAGGUUAGCAUGUUUUGUUGUAGUCUCUGUUAUUGGUAAUGGUGAGAGGUUAACAUGUUUUGUUGUAGUCUCUGUUACUGGUAAUGGUGAGAGGUUAGCAUGUUUUGUUGUAGUCUCUGUUAUUGGUAAUGGUGAGAGGUUAGCAUGUUUUGUUGUAGACUCUGUUAUUUAUUAUCUAGAUCUUUUUUAAUCAUGGCAUCCUCAAAUCAAAUCAAAUCAAAUUUUAUUUG
ensembl:lncRNA